rnacentral:rRNA from 1 species
UACGUAGGUGGCAAGCGUUGUCCGGAUUUACUGGGCGUAAAGAGCGCGCAGGCGGUCGUGCAAGUCGCGUGUGAAAGCCCCCGGCUCAACUGGGGAGGGUCACGCGAUACUGCUCGACUCGAAGGCAGGAGAGGGAGGUGGAAUUCCCGGUGUAGUGGUGAAAUGCGUAGAUAUCGGGAGGAACACCAGUGGCGAAGGCGACUUCCUGGCCUGUUCUUGACGCUGAGGCGCGAAAGCUAGGGUAGCAAACGGG